rnacentral:rRNA from 1 species
GGUCCUACGGGAGGCAGCAGUGAGGAAUAUUGGUCAAUGGGCGGAAGCCUGAACCAGCCAAGUCGCGUGAGGGAAUAAGGCCCUACGGGUCGUAAACCUCUUUUGCCGGGGAGCAAGGGCGGGGACGUGUCCCGGCCCGGAGAGUACCCGGAGAAAAAGCAUCGGCUAACUCCGUGCCAGCAGCCGCGGUAAUACGGAGGAUGCGAGCGUUAUCCGGAUUUAUUGGGUUUAAAGGGUGCGUAGGCGGGCUUUUCAGUCAGCGGUAAAAAUUCGGGGCGCAACCCCGUCCGGCCUGUGAAACGAGG